AUUCCAGCUUAAAGGGUGUUUUUUCUUCUUCCGGAGGGAACCUGAGAAACCCUAAACUUGAUUUUGGGCUAAAAUAGGCCGAUUCAUGGUUUAACCCAACAUAUAAUAACAAAGCCCAACUACGGAAAGGCCAUUAGGGAUUUAGGGUUUUAGCUUUUAAGCCUAUAUAUAUAAUCUCAAAGCCUUACCUUUCUCUUCCCCACUCUCCUCGCAGCCUCCGUAGAAGAACACUACACGAGUGGUUUUGAACUGCAAAAGGAGAUCGAUUUCGAAGCCUUUUCACCAUGAGAGCUAAGUGGAAGAAGAAGCGUAUGAGGAGGUUGAAGAGGAAGAGAAGAAAGAUGAGGCAAAGAUCUAAGUAGUUUAAUUUUAUCUUAAAGCAAGCAAUUUGGUCUAUGUUUCUUUAGAUUUUCUGUUGUUUGAUGGAUACUUUACUUUAAAAGGAUUUAAGUUAUCUUUAUCGAAACCUUUUGAAUAUUCUGGAAACUUGUUAUUUUCUAUUAACAACUUAUGGCUUUGGAUGUUAA